UCGCCCAGGCCCAGGGGAGGCGUCGGGGACAGCUUUCGGAAGGAGGAGGCCGGCUGGCCCUGCUGGGGGAAGUCUCCUCCGUCAGGGCGCUUACCGCUGAACACCUAGAGAGAGACAGAAGGAAACUGAACAUCCCAGCAAAGAGGCAAUGACUGUUGGGCGACAGGAUGGACCACAUGACGGCUUCCCAAAAGUGACAACUCAACACAUUUGUCGCCCCCUGGUGGCUGGCUGCAGUACAGGCAGUUAGAAGCUCCAUGCAGGGCAGAGCAGUGCGUGGUGCAGAGGACAGAGGCUUCAUGGUAUUCAGGCGGAGAAGCAUUUGAUCCGAGGCCAAAGGGUUACAUUCAACUGCAGGAUGGAGAGCUUGUUUCCUGUGAUGCAACCCCCCCCCAAACACUCACACAGGCGCACACACACACACGCAAUCCCGCUACUCCACUUCUCCCUCUUUCCUCAUCUCUCAGCCUGCUUAUCUUAAAAUUCACCAUGGUGAAGAAAUUUCACCUUUUGACCGUCACCAGAACCCAUGGCUUAUUCAUUUAUUGAUUACAGUAUAUAAUGAUAAUCAUAGUUAGCGUAUAAAGGAUACGAUAAGGUAUCGCUGCUACACACGUUAUUUUUACGCUUGUGAUAUACCAAAAAGGAUCUCAUCUCUGGAGUAAAAAAAAACAAGGGAAGAAACUUGCUUCAAGAGUUAGCAACAAAUGAACUACAAAUCUAGCAGCAGCUUUUGACUCUGCAUAAUUAUCAUUAUAUUGUUGUUGUUGUUGUGGUUGUUUUUGUGGUUGUUCAAAUCUUGGUUGUUUGGUUAUUUGGACUCCCAAGUUGGACAAAACAAGCUCUUUGAAGUCAUCACUUUGGGCUUAAGGGAAUUUCAACAGGCAUUUUUUAUAUUUUCUGACAUUUAUACGACACUUAUGUGCCGUUCAAACACUCACACAUUUACAUCAGCUCACAGCCAGACGAGUCUGGUGACUCGUGACUGACACCACUAAUUAUGAGCUCAAAAUGAGAGAAGACCUGCCCCAGGCCCCCCUCGCACAGUUAACUCCCCUCUCCUCGUCCGUCGCUGUGACAUCUAUUGUGUCUUUUACCACCGCAGCAUAAACCUCCUGCGUGGCCUCACCCGUCUCCUCCCGGUCCUUCACUCGUGUGUUAAUCCCUUCUGCCCUCCCUCCCCUGCUCGAUUGGGCCAAGCAGUCACAUUUGAUACUUUAUUUGGUUCUGCCCUUUUAUUUCCUGCCUCUAAUCCUCCAAAAAUGUUAUCUCUCUCUCUCCCCCACUCUGCUGACUAAACAAACCCUUACCAGACGAUUUUCGGACCCUUGGAAGCAGCGAGACCGCCUCUCAUUCUGCUUCUGCCAGACACCGUUCAGAUUUAGUUUUUUCUAAUUUCACUCAUCUCUGUUCUCUCCGCUUGUUGCUUUAGUUUGUUCUCUGACGUUUGGCCUGUUUUUAAUUUCACUGUGGGUAUUUCUCUCUUUCGCCCUCUCAUUCACUACCACUCUCUUCUGUUUCUAUGUAGGACGUUUUCUGCAUCAAGGAAGAGUAGAUCAGACAGACAUUGGAGUCAUGGAGGGACAGGAAAGAGAAAACAACAAUAUGCUAGUUGCUGUCGUAAAGCAUCUGACUCUGAUUAAAGGGAGGACAGACGAAAACGUGGUGCUGUGUAAAUUAACUAAUUAAAGGUUCUGCCCCCCUGCCCUAAUAUGAGUAGGCCUAGAUAUGACCCCAUCACCCAUCACUAUAAAGGACAGUGCACUGCCACGUUCCUCUUGGUCAUAAUGUAUAUGCACAGGUGUAUAUGUGUAGAGAAAUUAAAUGUAUUCAUUAAAAUUAACGUUCAUACAAAUCCAUUUCAGUUGACCUGAUGAAGGUCUGUGGACGAUAACGGGGUAGGUAGUUGACAGGGUGUGGGAUUUUGUAGUUCUUCCACUGUUUAGAAUAAUCAAACAUCUUGUGAAUCAAGCUUGUAAGUCAUCUACACUUAAAGAAAGGGUGGUGAGUUUUAAUCACAAACACUGACAUCAUUGUGAUUCAAAUUCAACUUGAUCUCAAUGAAAAAUAGGAGAAUUAUGUUUGCUUAAGAAUAGCAACAGUUAAGCAACUCACAUGACUAGGUGACUUAAAUAGCACACAUUCCAUAAACUCAGCAGUUGGGACAAGUAGCCUGUAACUGAUUGCUGAAUGCAGAAUCUGAACCGCGUGAAAAUAAACCUUUUCCAGAAGGGACAUCUGAUAGAGAAAGACCUGAUUGGCAGCACUGUCUGUCUGUCUGUCUGUGUGUGUGUGUGUGUGUCAGAUCAUGAUGCUCAUGGAGAAUGAAGAAACAUGGUGGUGACAGUAGAAGGUUCUCUGAGUUUAGUGAAUCAGCAGGCUGAAUGUGUGACUCUGUAUAUGUUAC